rnacentral:rRNA from 1 species
UACGUAGGGUGCGAGCGUUUGUCCGGAAUUAUUGGGCGUAAAGGGCGCGUAGGCGGCUUUGCAAGUGGCGGGUGAAAUCCCUCGGCUUAACCGAGGAACUGCCUGCCAGACUGUGAGGCUUGAGACCGGGAGAGGUGAGUGGAAUUCCCAGUGUAGCGGUGAAAUUCGUAGAUAUUCGCAAGAACACCAGUGGCGAAGGCGGCUCACUGGCCCGAUACUGACGCUGAGGCACGAAAGCGUGGGGAGCGAACAGG